CAGUGAUAAAGCAGAAAGUGUAAACAUUGAAAAAGAAACAUUAUCAUUUUGUUUUAACAUUUUAACUUCACCUAAAACCUAUCUCAUAGAAUCACAAAAGCACAGGUGAUAGAGAGCUGGGCUGAAAUACAAGAAGAUCUGGGUUCACAUCCUUCUGCACAUUUAUCAUGGCUAUGAGAUCAUAGGCAAAUCAUUUAAGCUAUCUGUACUCCAAGAAACUUCUAAGAUUAAAUUGCAUAAGAGAUAGUGAUCUGCAUUGGUAAAGGGAAAUUCCAAAGCAGAUGCUUCCCUAAGUUAAUGAAAUUCUAAAUCUCAUAUGAAACAAAAGCAAUUCCCUUUCCAAACCGCCUUCCAACCUUGUAUUAUUCCUCAAACAUAGUUUAACAUUCUAAAGAAGUUUAAUUACAGAUUAACCAUAGUAGUUAAAUAUUCACAUAGUUUAAAUUGUAAUAUGUGGUUAAAAUGAAACAUAAGGUCAGGCUUUUUAUUCAUCCUAAUGUGUCUUUUCCCCCAACAAUGAAAUAAUUUUUAAAAAGGACCUAAUGUAAUUAAUGUUUUUCAAAAUUAAACUUGUUAUUUACCUAAGAAUCCACUGGGGGUCAUUGCUGUUCACUAAGAUGCAACUGAAAGCACUCUAUAGUUUGAAAAUAAAAAAGUUAACUUUACCAAAGAGAGGGAAACAAGGGAGGAGAAGCUGCUCGUCUGGGGGGAAAAAAAGAGUAAGUGCUCAAAAGUAUUAGGAGUUCAAUAAAGAUUAAGAUUUUUAGCACACAUAUGAUGAAUUUGUAAAAUAUAGGGAAAAAAUCCAAUCAGUUCAAAAGAAUAUUAUUAAAAAAAAAAAAGAACAUAAACAUUUCUCUUAUAUUGCUAUAAAUUAAUAAGGAAAAUAACAUAAGUAAUUUCUCAUUAUUUGAGUUUUAGAAGUAUGUAUCAUCAACUCUGGAUGCCUCUGUUUAUAAGUACCUCAAAGAUGUUAUUUUUGAAUUAUAAUCAUUUUUAUGUAACUAUAGGGAG
rnacentral:lncRNA from 1 species